UACGAAGGGGGCUAGCGUUGCUCGGAAUCACUGGGCGUAAAGCGCACGUAGGCGGGUCGGUAAGGCGGGGGGGAAAUCCUGGAGCUCAACUCCAGAACUGCCUUCGAUACUGGCGAUCUUGAGUCCGGGAGAGGUGAGUGGAACUGCGAGUGUAGAGGUGAAAUUCGUAGAUAUUCGCAAGAACACCAGUGGCGAAGGCGGCUCACUGGCCCGGUACUGACGCUGAGGUGCGAAAGCGUGGGGAGCAAACAGG
rnacentral:rRNA from 1 species